CCUACGGGAGGCAGCAGUGGGGAAUUUUGGACAAUGGGCGCAAGCCUGAUCCAGCAAUGCCGCGUGAGUGAAGAAGGCCUUCGGGUUGUAAAGCUCUUUUGUCAGGGAAGAAACGGUGAAGGCUAAUAUCUUUUGCUAAUGACGGUACCUGAAGAAUAAGCACCGGCUAACUACGUGCCAGCAGCCGCGGUAAUACGUAGGGUGCAAGCGUUAAUCGGAAUUACUGGGCGUAAAGCGUGCGCAGGCGGUUUUGUAAGUUUGUCGUGAAAUCCCCGGGCUCAACCUGGGAAUGGCGAUGAAGACUGCAAGGCUAGAAUCUGGCAGAGGGGGGUAGAAUUCCACGUGUAGCAGUGAAAUGCGUAGAGAUGUGGAGGAACACCGAUGGCGAAGGCAGCCCCCUGGGUCAAGAUUGACGCUCAUGCACGAAAGCGUGGGGAGCAAACAGGAUUAGAUACCCUGGUAGUCCACGCCCUAAACGAUGUCUACUAGUUGUCGGGUUUUAAUUAACUUGGUAACGCAGCUAACGCGUGAGUAGACCGCCUGGGGAGUACGGUCGCAAGNUUAAACGUUCAAAGUUAUUAGUGCGNGNGNGNGNGCGAGACGACGAGGAGGAG
rnacentral:rRNA from 1 species